GAAUGAGUUGUACAUGUCACAUUUGGAGCCAUGACAACCAUCCUGCGACCAUGAGGACACAAGUCUAAAGGUGGAGUACUAAAAGCACUUGGUAGACAACACCAACAACUGCCACCGAGUUUGUAGACAGAAUCACGUAGGACUUGUGGGUACUGAGCACCAGUUCAAGCCAAGGACAAAAUGAAGUCUCCAUUUUUAACAGAAGAAUCUGGGCCUGCAAAUAAACAGCCCAAGAAGCUGUGGAUGCUCUUAUAGCUGUGAAGGGAGGGACUCCCCAAGGAGAGAGGUAACCUAGAGUUGAGAGAUGGAGGAAGAGACACAGAAUCUGGAUGGCUUUGCUCAGCUCCUGUAAUCCAACUAUGCCUGAAUGUGGAUCUAUCUUCCAAAGAACCUCUUCAGCUCCAUUUACAGU